AGUGGGGGGGGUGCCUAUACAUGCAGUAGAACGCUGAAGAGAGGAGCUUGCUCUUCUUGGAUGAGUUGCGAACGGGUGAGUAACGCGUAGGUAACCUGCCUUGUAGCGGGGGAUAACUAUUGGAAACGAUAGCUAAUACCGCAUAACAAUGGAUGACACAUGUCAUUUAUUUGAAAGGGGCAAUUGCUCCACUACAAGAUGGACCUGCGUUGUAUUAGCUAGUAGGUGAGGUAAUGGCUCACCUAGGCGACGAUACAUAGCCGACCUGAGAGGGUGAUCGGCCACACUGGGACUGAGACACGGCCCAGACUCCUACGGGAGGCAGCAGUAGGGAAUCUUCGGCAAUGGGGGCAACCCUGACCGAGCAACGCCGCGUGAGUGAAGAAGGUUUUCGGAUCGUAAAGCUCUGUUGUAAGUCAAGAACGGGUGUGAGAGUGGAAAGUUCACACUGUGACGGUAGCUUACCAGAAAGGGACGGCUAACUACGUGCCAGCAGCCGCGGUAAUACGUAGGUCCCGAGCGUUGUCCGGAUUUAUUGGGCGUAAAGCGAGCGCAGGCGGUUUGAUAAGUCUGAAGUUAAAGGCUGUGGCUCAACCAUAGUUCGCUUUGGAAACUGUCAAACUUGAGUGCAGAAGGGGAGAGUGGAAUUCCAUGUGUAGCGGUGAAAUGCGUAGAUAUAUGGAGGAACACCGGUGGCGAAAGCGGCUCUCUGGUCUGUAACUGACGCUGAGGCUCGAAAGCGUGGGGAGCGAACAGGAUUAGAUACCCUGGUAGUCCACGCCGUAAACGAUGAGUGCUAGGUGUUGGAUCCUUUCCGGGAUUCAGUGCCGCAGCUAACGCAUUAAGCACUCCGCCUGGGGAGUACGACCGCAAGGUUGAAACUCAAAGGAAUUGACGGGGGCCCGCACAAGCGGUGGAGCAUGUGGUUUAAUUCGAAGCAACGCGAAGAACCUUACCAGGUCUUGACAUCCCGAUGCUAUUUCUAGAGAUAGAAAGUUACUUCGGUACAUCGGUGACAGGUGGUGCAUGGUUGUCGUCAGCUCGUGUCGUGAGAUGUUGGGUUAAGUCCCGCAACGAGCGCAACCCCUAUUGUUAGUUGCCAUCAUUCAGUUGGGCACUCUAGCGAGACUGCCGGUAAUAAACCGGAGGAAGGUGGGGAUGACGUCAAAUCAUCAUGCCCCUUAUGACCUGGGCUACACACGUGCUACAAUGGUUGGUACAACGAGUUGCGAGUCGGUGACGGCGAGCUAAUCUCUUAAAGCCAAUCUCAGUUCGGAUUGUAGGCUGCAACUCGCCUACAUGAAGUCGGAAUCGCUAGUAAUCGCGGAUCAGCACGCCGCGGUGAAUACGUUCCCGGGCCUUGUACACACCGCCCGUCACACCACGAGAGUUUGUAACACCCGAAGUCGGUGAGGUAACCUUUUGGAGCCAGCCGCCUUAAAGGGG
rnacentral:rRNA from 1 species